AGGGUGUGUUUGACUUCCUAGCCAGACUGUAAAUGGAGAGAUUAAAGAACAUUAUUCUAUAUUCUUCUUGCACCCCUUACGCUUUUAAUAAGUGGUCCAGUGCUGAUCCUACAAAGAACAUGGAGUUCAACUGAGGCCUUAAUACAUGCCUCAAAAUUACAGAACAAGAUUUACUACUGGUACAGACCAGAAGAAGCAGGUGUUACUACCACUGAAACUUUGCCUUG